rnacentral:tRNA from 1 species
GCGCGAGUGGCGGAACUGGCAGACGCGCUGGAUUUAGGUUCCAGUGUCUUCGGACGUGAGGGUUCAAGUCCCUUCUCGCGCA